UACGUAGGGUGCGAGCGUUGUCCGGAUUUAUUGGGCGUAAAGAGCUUGUAGGCGGCUCGUCACGUCGGGUGUGAAAACUCGCGGCUCAACCGCGAGCCUGCACCCGAUACGGGCGGGCUAGAGUUCGGCAGGGGAGACUGGAAUUCCUGGUGUAGCGGUGGAAUGCGCAGAUAUCAGGAGGAACACCGGUGGCGAAGGCGGGUCUCUGGGCCGAUACUGACGCUGAGAAGCGAAAGCGUGGGGAGCGAACAG
rnacentral:rRNA from 1 species